GAUGAACGCUAGCGGCAGGCUUAACACAUGCAAGUCGAGGGGUAUAGGUUUUCGGACCUAGAGACCGGCGCACGGGUGCGUAACGCGUAUGCAAUCUACCUUUCACAGAGGGAUAGCCCAGAGAGAUUUGGAUUAAUACCUCAUAGUAUAGCAGUUUCGCAUGAAACCACUAUUAAAGUAUCAACGGUGAAAGAUGAGCAUGCGUCCCAUUAGCUAGAUGGUAAGGUAACGGCUUACCAUGGCUACGAUGGGUAGGGGUCCUGAGAGGGAGAUCCCCCACACUGGUACUGAGACACGGACCAGACUCCUACGGGAGGCAGCAGUGAGGAAUAUUGGUCAAUGGACGCAAGUCUGAACCAGUCAUGCCGCGUGCAGGAUGACGGUCCUAUGGAUUGUAAACUGCUUUUGUACGAGAAGAAACAACAUUACGUGUAAUGUCUUGACGGUAUCGUAAGAAUAAGGAUCAGCUAACUCCGUGCCAGCAGCCGCAGUAACAC
rnacentral:rRNA from 1 species